AUGUCCUCCUCCAGCGCCAGGGCCCCCGACUCCGUCGUCGCAGACGCCGACGCGCUCGCUCGCAAGGUCGCCGCCAUCCGCGCCGCCGGCCCAGCUAAGCUGCAGGUGAUUUCCGACUUCGACGGCACGCUCACUCGGUACUGGUACGACGGCUCCCGCGGCCAGAGUAGCCAUGGGCUGCUCAGACAGGGGAAUGAAGAGUUCGACGCCAAGAGGGAGGCGUUGUUCGAGCAUUACCACCCCAUCGAGAUCAACCCCGACAUCCCGCUGCUGGAGAAGGCCAAGCUCAUGGAAGAAUGGUGGGGGAAGACUCAUGGUCUCCUUAUUGAAGGGGGGCUUACACAAAAUGCUAUAAAGAAAUCGGUGGCUGAUGCUGCAAUUGCUUUUCGAGAUGGAGUGGUGGAGCUGUUUGAAUUUUUGGAGGCUAGAGAUAUUCCAGUGCUAGUAUUUUCGGCUGGACUUGCAGACAUCAUUGAGGAGGUCUUCCGGCAGAAACUCCACCGAUCAUUCAAGAACAUCAAGAUUGUGUCCAAUAGAAUGGUCUUUAAUGAAGAGGGUUCUCUUGUAGCAUUUAAAGGGAAGACAAUUCAUGUUCUAAACAAAAAUGAGCAUUCCUUGGACAUGGCAGCUCCAGUGCAUGACAGUCUGGGGGAUCCAAAUGGUUCUAUUGAUGACUAUUCAUUGGUGAAAAAGAGGACCAACGUGCUGCUACUUGGAGAUCACAUUGGAGACCUGGGAAUGUCUGAUGGUUUAAACUACGAGAACAGGAUUGCUGCUGGAUUCCUGAAUACCAACAUUGAGAAAUCUCUGAAAGAUUACUCCAAGGCAUUUGACAUUGUUUAUCUGAAUGAUGCGUCGAUGCGGGGAGUUGUUGAGCUUGUGUCUGAUCUGUGUCCUUAA
rnacentral:rRNA from 1 species